GACGAACGCUGGCGGCGUGCUUAACACAUGCAAGUCGAACGGACAGGCCCUGCUCUUGCUGGGUGCUCGAGUGGCGAACGGGUGAGUAACACGCGUGUAUCCCGUCCCUAUAUGUCGGAUAACACUACGAAAAUCGGGAUAUUACCGCAGAUGAGCUCCUGCUCCAUGGUGGUGGAUGGAAAGAUUCGGCGGUUGGGGCUGGAUUGGCGGCUUAUCCGUUUGUUUGUGGGGUAGUGGCUUACGAAGCCUUUGACGGAUAGCCGGCCUGAGAGGGGGACCAGCCACAAUGGUCCUACGGGACGGAGCAGACUCCUACGGGAGGCAGCAGUGGGGAAUAUUGCGCAGUGGGGGGAAGCCUGAGGAGACGACGCCGCGUGCGGGAUGACGGGCUUCGGGUUGUAAACCGAUGUCGCCUGUAACGAGGCGUGAGUGACGGUAAUGGGUAAGAAAGCAACGGCUAACUACGUG
rnacentral:rRNA from 1 species